GGACUACUGGGGUUUCUAAUCCGGUUCGCUCCCCUAGCUUUCGCGCAUCAGCGUCAGGUACGGCCCAGCAAAUCGCCUUCGCCACCGGCGUUCCUAGCGAUAUCUGCGCAUUUCACCGCUACACCGCUAGUUCCACUUGCCUCUACCGACCUCAAGUCAACGCAGUUUCGGAUGCACGAUCACAGUUGAGCCAUGACUUUUCACAUCCGACUUGCGUAACCGCCUACGCGCCCUUUACGCCCAGUGAAUCCGGACAACGCUCGCCCCCUACGUCUUACCGCGGCUGCUGGCAC
rnacentral:rRNA from 1 species